UACAGAGGCCUCGAGCGUUAGGCGGAAUCACUGGGCUUAAAGCGUGUGUAGGCGGACUUCUAAGUACCUUGUGAAAUCCCACGGCUUACCCGUGGAACGGCUGGGUAUACUGGGAGUCUUGAGCCACCUAGGGGCGAGUGGAACAAAUGGUGGAGCGGUGAAAUGCGUAGAUAUCAUUUGGAACGCCAAUGGUGAAAACAACUCGCUGGGGGUGUGCUGACGCUGAGACACGAAAGCCAGGGGAGCGAACGGG
rnacentral:rRNA from 2 species